GACGAACGCUGGCGGCGUGCUUAACACAUGCAAGUCGAACGGUAAGGCCCUUCGGGGUACACGAGUGGCGAACGGGUGAGUAACACGUGGGUGAUCUGCCCUGCACUUUGGGAUAAGCCUGGGAAACUGGGUCUAAUACCGAAUAUGACUACAGGCUGCAUGGUCUGUGGUGGAAAGCUUUUGCGGUGUGGGAUGGGCCCGCGGCCUAUCAGCUUGUUGGUGGGGUGAUGGCCUACCAAGGCGACGACGGGUAGCCGGCCUGAGAGGGUGACCGGCCACACGGGGGUGGAGAAACGGCCCAGACUCCCACGGGGGGGAGGAGGGGGGAAUAUUGCACAAGGGGCGCAAGCCUGAUGCAGGGACCCCGGGGGGGGGACGGCGGCCUUCGGGUUGUAAACCUUUUUCCGCCCAGACGAAGCGCAAGGGACGGUAUGUGAAAAAGAAGGACCGGCCAACUCCGU
rnacentral:rRNA from 1 species